UUUCCAGCUCUGCUCAGCUGGACAUGAUGAGGAGAAUGGCAUCCAAGUAGGAAUUUUCUUACCUGAAUCUGUAAGCUGUUUUCAGCAUUGCUGGUGUGCAAGUUGCUGUUUUGUUCCAACACAGUAUAGUGGGGACCCAGCAGUUGUGAUUUAGUGCCUUCCUGGCACUCGCACCUGUAGGUGGCAGCAUCUUCCUGUUCUAUGGGAUGUGGUGGCCAGUUCCCGGUGUUUCCAGUGUGACUAGGAAACUGAAAAUGAGAAGCAAGAUCUUCCCACCCUCUUGUUAAGGGAUUCCCUUUUAGUGGAGGAUUCACAGCUACAUAAUUAGAGCAGCCUUCCAGUGCAUGAAGCAGCUAGAGAAGUACUGAAUCUACUGUGUUUCUCUACUGCUGAAUGAAAAGAAACUGAGAGGUACUCAUUUUCCUGUUUGGUGGUGAGGGAAGUUCCUUCAUUAUUUGUGUACUAGAAUUGGAGAUUCUGCAGUCCUUAUCUGCAACCUCUCUAUCUUGAUUCUUCAAAGCUCCCAGUACCCUUCUGGAACAGCAGUAUGUGUGCAUGCAGAACUGGUACAAUGAAAGUCCCUUUUGGUGCCUCUUCAGCUUGCUGCAGAGGGCAGAACUAGGAUGUGGAGACCCAUUUCUUGUGAACUGUUUUCUUCCAGAAGCAGAGAAUUGAUGUGGCUCAUCUGAACCAGCAAAAGCUGCUUCUUAUCCUGCCUUGUUGCUCUGAUAAAGACACUGUUUUUUCUAGGGGUAUUACAAAAAGGAUAAGCUUCAGAGAACUCUGUGCUUGAAGGGUGCAACACUGAUCUAAAGAAGUAUUUAUGUUCAGCCAAUACAAAAAGGAGAGAAGCAUGGCCUCAUAAUCCUGUCUUCACAGUGGUAAAGCAAACAAGUGCAUUGCUAAAAAUAUCCAUAUUUUUUGGUAAAAAUUCCUUUAUAGUAAUAUUUCUUAAUAUAGGCUGUAGUCAUCGUGUCCCCCUUUUUUUCACUCCCAUAUAUUGCUUUCACUCAAAGCAUGCAGUGUUAAAUUUUCUUCCAAAAACUGGAGGUUUUGGGGUGGUUUUUUUCCCCUUCCUUAUUUGUAGAAAACAAAUGCUUUAAGGACACCCUACUUGACCAAUUUGUUAUGCUUUUUUGAAAAGCUUCAGUGGAGUUUUGUGAUUUUUACUUUUAAAAAAUAUGCUCAAUUCGUUUACUAGCUGGAACAUGUUACAGACUAGACCUACUCUGAUCAGUUUUAAAUGAGUUACAGCACCAAUGGGUGUUCUGGGUUUUUUGAAACCCAAGUAAAAUUUUGCUGCCCUGCUGUGUCACAUCCUUGUUCGUUGUGUUCAGGUCUUCCUCAUGUGCCUAUGUGAAGUCUAACUUCAUAUAACUGUUCACAGUCCUCUUUCCAGAUCACCUGUUUGCAUCUGUAUGUUGUGUAAUUUAGGUGAAUGACCUUAAAAUCAGAUGAGGUGAGGUGAAUUUAUUUGUAAGUCUGUAGAUAUGAAAGCCCCAGUUGUUAGGCUUUAGCAGGUUUAGCAGAAAACAACUAAAACUGUCAGUGUGUUUAAUUAGUCUUUAGAAUUACAUACCAAAUAGAUUUUGAAGGAAUACAGGUAAUAAAAUACUUUUUUUGUGUGUGAAUAAAAGUAUCUAUCUCACUCAAGCAAGCCUGACUGCCUUUCAGUAUGACCAUCUUUAAAGAUUUUCCUAAGAUCUAGAGGGCCACUCUUGAGCUGGAUCGUGCCAGCCCAUCACUUCAUUGCUUAGUUUGCAAGGUCCAGAUGGUAGCAAGCUGCAAAUGGAUAUUUCUGCAGCUGAAAUAUCUAUCCCUCUGGCAGACUCGAGAGACACUGGUUCUGGCAGAUUUAGACUUGUCUCUGGCUAUUUAGCACAGUUGUACAGUUAAUGGACUGUUGGACAAUUUUGACAAACUUGCUAUUUUCUGGUGACUCGUUUAUAAUUCUGGGAAAGGAGUGCAUGGUUAGCCAUUUGUGAAUAAUUGGAAAUCCUCUUGAGAUCUCAAGAAAAACACUUUCAUUGUUAAAUAGGGUUGAUUUGCCUGUUUAUUUAGGUAUCCUAGAUAGAAUCUCAAUACUGACCUUUGAAUGCUCCAUAUAUUUCUCCAAAUUGGAUUUUGCCUUUGUGUGUGUGUCUGAUGUGUUUUAAGAGGCCAAGGUCUUAAUUACUGUUAUUAUGCCUAGUUUACCAUACGAUUAUAGUUGAUGUUAAUUAAAAUGGGGACUUUGCAAACGCAAAAGGAAGACCUACAGGUUUUAUGUGCUUACAACUACAUUUCUCUGUGCAUCCACAGGUAUACAAAUAUGAAAUCUUUGUCAUCAGCUGCAUUUAUGUUUUACUUCUGAUCAAUUCACUGAUAGUCUUACUGAUAUCCUGGACACCAAAAUUCUUGACCAGUACCAAACAGUCUCAAACCAAAGUAAAAUCUCACUUAUCCUCCAAUUAGUGGGCUAAAUACAAAUCCUCCAUGAGAAGGCUAUUUCCAGUAUUUAUCAGGCACAUAGAUGAGAGCAGUGCCAUGUGAUGAAGCUAUCCAAUAGGACAGACCUCACUUUUUUUUUUUACACUGCAAUACUCCAAUACAACCGCGGUUAUUCUGUAUGGACCGUUUGAAGUUUUGGACAGUUCUGCCAUGAACUAGAAAGUUAAAACCUUCAUCUUCCUCUAAGACUUGCACUAUGAUUGCCCAGUUUUACAAAUACAAAUGCAUGCAAAUAUCACUGAUAACAGUUUUAAGACACAUGUUCCACACUGAAUGCAUGAUGAUAUAACAUUAAGGAUAUGUGCUGUCUCUGGAUGAGGAUGAUAUGAAUGAUCUGCAUAUUCCUAAGCCUAUAUAGUAGGGGUCUGAAAUACAGAUACCAUCAUGAAAAGAGAUAAAUUUAAUACACACCCGCACAGAAAAAAUUAUAUGCUUGACAGAGAUUGUCCGAUGGCUGGGAAAACACCAUUUAUAUAUUCAAACUGAUUUUUUUUUUAAAUUCUGGAUGAUCCUGGGGUUGGUAUUCUGUGUAGCACACUGGCAUUUUGCUGUAUUUUCCUCCCUCAAUAUAGUUUAAUCUAUAUUAAAGCACUGUGCUGUCACAACUUUCAUAAAUUAUUACAAAGCCAGCCAAUAGAAAUUACAUAAAUACUGCAAAUAUAAUCAUCUGUUCUUAGCAGAAAGUCUUAAAGGACUUUUAAACUAGUUACAACAGAAAGUGGUAAUCCCUCUAUUAAAACUUUCUUACCAUGUUAUAAGUUUGCCAUUAUGCAACAUUUUUCACUUUGUCAGCUGAAAACUGUUUUUCCAAAAGUAAUCUAGACCUUGCUUUGCUGAGAUGGAAAUAAAGGGAAGUUUGUCUUGACUAAGUGCUCUGUUUUCCUGUGACUCUGAGCAAGCAGCAGUUAGAAUGAAACAUUGGAAACAACAGUAAUUUACUAAUCAGGAGAAAAAUGGUUGUUACUGAAACAUACCCCAUGUUUACCGCAAAAUUGAUUUAAAGCACAUUUUAAAAUAACAGCUCAAGAAAAAUAGGCUCACAGUGGGCUCCAAAUUCUAAAUGCAACAUUUGCAUAUAUAUGAUUAAGUGCCACAGAAUGGACUUUGCUCACGGAAGUCUCUUAAGGGCAGAGAAGAUAGCAAGGAAUGCAUUGUUGAAUUAAGCUGCCUUUGGAAGUCUGAGGUGCACUGAGCUCCUUAUAAGGCUUUUCAUUGCCCUUGUGGAAGGCACUGAAGCAAAGAAAAUGCUGGAAAUAAACCUAAAUUCUAUGAUAUCUUCACCCAAGCCAUAGACUGUGCUUUUGCUGGAUUUUUAAUGACCACAGUACUAAAAUGUAAUUAGUUUGAAUUACCACAAAAUAAAGACAAGAAGGGAAGAAUCAUCUGGUGCUAGUGCUUUUCUUGGAACAAAAUGGAUUAAACAUAGCUGUUAAUCUGGAGGUAAACUGAGGAACAGAGUCAACUGUCCAGGAGAAUGAAUAGCUGAAGAAAUGACAUCAAGCAAAAACCUAAGCCAAGAGAAGUAGUUUGGUAUAUAAUCCUCUGCAAAGCUUGUGAAAAAGGGAGCAGGGGCAGCUUUAAACAGCAUUGGCAGAGUGGAGCCUAAAUCAAUGUGCCAUGCUGGGUAUGGCACUGGGCUGCAGCAAGGGCUUUGGAGGAGAGACAAGGACAGAACUUGAUUAAUCCAUAGUAUGAAUUGUCCACCCCUAGAUCAGCAACAGUUGACAAAAUUUGAGCACAAGAGUAAUAGAAAGGGGAGAUAUGUGGACUUAAUUUUGUCACCUGUGAAAUAAGUUAGGUACAGGGGUGAGCCUUCACUCUGACAGUCCUGCUGGUAGAGAAAAAAGAACUGAAAUUUGUUGCUAGGAGCCAGCUUCCAAAGAAAAUUAAUUUCAAAAGCUUGUGUGGCAAACUGCAAAAGUUAUCAUGAAUAGUCUUCCUUUUUGCAUUUGUGUACAUCCUGCUUUUAUACCUGUAUGUACUUCAUGUGGUAAUAAAUAUUCAAAGAUUGCUUUACAGUGGUUGUAGCCAAGUUGAUGCCGGUUAUUCCAGAUGGAAAGAUCAUUGCAUCUCAAGGUACUGUAACAAAAGACUUGGCAGUUCAUAAGUGGUGUUCCUGCUGGGAGCAGGUGUCUUCGGUUUGACAAGAUUGCACUUUAUCCAUGAGUGCUUGAAAUGCGCUAUAGCUGGUAGGAGGUCAAACAGGUCUGAAUUUUUAAAGAGAGUGUUGUAAGACUUUGGUAAUGAGCUUGAGGUAGUGAACAAUGACAUGCAAAACUAAUUACCUGUUUACUAACGUCACAAUAAUUCAGCCAUUUGUCUUGACUGGAGCCAUGCUGAGCCUCGGCUUCUGCCAAGCCUACUUUCCAGCCACUGAGUGAUUGUAUGUGAACUGUUUUGCUAGAAAGUGCCAAAAAAAAAAAAAAGAAAAAAAAAAAAAGAGGGAAAAGGGAAUUCUUUUAACUGCUACAACCUAGAUUUUAAUUUACUGACCACAUAUGAGAUUUAGGGAUUAGAUUUGCUUAUACGCAAGACAUGUCUCUGGGAGCAGUGUGUUUUCACUGAAGAGCAUAAAACAGACACCCAGCAGAAGAGUUAAUUAUCUGAGUGCUAAUGUUCUCAGACAAAUACGUAAUGCAUCAUAAGUAUUAGCAAUGAAGUGCUGGCUGGCAGUGUAAAAUCAAAUUACCUCUAGAAGUUUUAUUGUUGAAAUGUGAUUACUAGACUUUGCAAAGAUCCAGGUUACAAACAGACACCCAAGAGCAGGGGGCCUGUGAAGCUGUGAUGAAUUUCUCACCAGGAAUUACACACAAACUGCUUUCAGUCACUGAAACUAUGCUUUUGUGAACAUGGGCUACAGUAGUAAGGGUUAGAUUGGCAACUUCAUAUGGUUUUCUGACCUGGUGAACUCAAUAGUUAUCACACUAUAAAACAAGACAAAGUCAUUUUGAAGAAGUUAAAAGAGAGUGUAAAAGACUGGCAUUUUUGUCUUUAUUCAGCAAACUCUUGGCCACACUAGUUUAUAGUUCAUAAAUCACAACUUCUGUGUGAUUUGAUUGAUCUGAACAUGCUGCCUUUCUUUGAUUGUGUCAAGGGUUUAACCUUCUAUAAUUCAGUGUAAAAUUAACCCCCAAAAUAAAAUAUAUGUAUUUCAAACUGCUAGGAUUUAAUGAGCAAAUAGCUGCACAGCACUUUGCUGUCUGCUUGGUUCCCCACCCCACUGAAAUUGGAGGAUCUCUUUCUUGUGGCUUC